GCCCAAGUGGCGAAAUGGCAGACGCAAAGGACUUAAAAUCCUUCGGUGGAAACACCAUGCCGGUUCGAGUCCGGCCUUGGGCACCA
rnacentral:tRNA from 1 species